rnacentral:lncRNA from 1 species
AUGAACUACUUUUCUGCAGGCAAAGCAGAGCUCCAGACACCUCGCCCCGGCCGGCCCCUGGCUCCAGUUCCUCUCCUGUGCGGCCCCCAAGGUGUGGCCCCGGGGGGGGUGGCGGGGGCCCCCAGCCUGCCCCACGCAUGGCUCCACUUGAGUGGGCAGCGGUGCAGAGGGCGAGACCAGGCGCCCUGCGCAUUUCUGUCCCCCGCGCGGAACCCAGCCUCCCUGAGCCUGAGCUGCCCCUAUAAGAGCCCGCCUGCGCCCAGGAGUGCCUGCCUUCCUUCCCUCCUGGGCCGCCUCCCACGCAGGUCCUCCUCUGAAGGGCACAGGGGCAGGACGCUCUCUCACUGGUCCCCUGUGCUACCUGGGUGCCAUGGCAACAGUCACCUCUCAGAACCUGAUGCUUCUGGUCAUCCCCUGACCAAAUGCUGCUGCCACCGGCCUGGGAGAGCCCUGGGGUCGCUCCACGAGUCCCUGCCCAAGUCAGGCUUUUGAGAUGAAGGACCCAGGUGCCCGUCUCCUCAAGACCUGCAGCGUCUUGACAACAGAACCUGUCUUUGCUAGGUUUACAGCCGCCACACCUCACACACAGCUCAGGAGAGGGUCUCCCGCAUGCCCGGUGCCGGAGCUCCACCAACCACAGCGGACACCGGACCACAACGUGGAGACAGUGGGAGCUUCCACAUGUGGCCCGGCUGCCGGGGUUCAGACCCUGACCCCACAGCCAUCAGCUAAGGACCUUGGGCACGCUGCCUAACACCUGAGCCUCAGUUUCCCCCUCUGCAAAAAAUGCAUAAAAUAUCUUCUCCCGCUCCCGGAACUGGGAGGACAUGGGGCAUAGAAAGCGCAGCCUGGUACCUGUGUUCCCUGGAGAAGUGUUGGCCGGAACCUGGGUGAAUUAAGAUACCGGGAAAGCUUAAGGACAGAAUAUUUGGUGAGGAGUGUAUAUUGAAAACAGGUAGAAAGACAUUCCAAAAUGCCUAGAAGAGAAAUCUGUGACUAGUGGGAUUAUGGAAUGGCUUUUGGUUUAUGUUUUUCCCUGUAAUUUCCCACUUCUCUACCCAGAACGCAUAUCGAAUGACUCUGGAAAUGUGUUACUUUAAAAACUUGUUUGGAAAACCCGCCUGAGAGCUCUAACAGUGCCCACCCCCAUUUAGCUUUGGACUCCAGGAGCUGUCCUGCUGCUCUGGUUGCCCAGGAAUGAGAGGAAGCCCCGGAGAGUUCCAGCUGGAGUGGUUGGCUCUUCUGCUGAACCCCCAACCAGGAAACAAGGCAUCUUGUGUUGCCGUGGAAGGGUCUGGGGGACCAGAGGAGACUGCUGCUCCCUGUGCAGCACCCAGGGCCUCCACGCCAAAGUGGAGCUCAAGGGAGGGAAGGGUUUGUCUAUUACUAAUCCACAUAAGAAUUUCUUGGUUGAGGGCCCAGAAUUCCUCAAUAAGUGGCCGAUUUUAUCUCACUAACUUCUGAAGUUUGAUUUAAAAGCUUCUGUUGCAGUGUCUGUCGGGUCUUGGUGGGGUGGGUGGUGCAGGAAUCAUUAUCCUCACUGUAUAGACUUUAUGAAACAGAAGUUGUAACUAUUUAUAUGGAAUGUCUGGAAAAUGGCCUGGCGCCGCCCUCCAAGACAGAGGUUUAAGAGCGACAGUGGCUGGUCCUUCCCGGGUCAGUGCCACCUUAGCUCCCGUGAAGUCAAAAGAUGAAGACACAAGCUCCCAGCUCCACUGUGCUGUCCUGCAGACCAGAGUUUGAGAUUUUCCCAACCUGGGCACUGUCCCUGGGGCCACACUCACAGAGGGGCAGGGACAGAGCUCAGGUCCAAGCACCAAGUGCUGUCCUCUGGGGACACCAUUCACGAGUGGUGGCAGGAGGAGGUUGACACCCGCAGCCCAAUUUCCAAAUUGCUCCUGGUGGGGGAGAGAAAGGAGCCUCCUGGACAUGCCACCAAGACAGCAAGAUGCCACUAACACAGCCACUGGGACAGGGGUGGGGCUGGAGGAGAGGAUGGUGAUGCGGCAGGGGACAGAGUGUAGGAGUACACGUGACCAGCCCCGUGGCAGGUGGGGGUUCUGGCUGUGCGGGUCGGGGUGGCCUGGGCUGGACUGUCAGCAGUCCCCAGGGCUGCUGUGACCUCUUAGCUCACUGUCCUAUGCUCAUGUCUCAUUCUUAUUUUCCUUACUUUAAAAGACAACGCAGAGGGUCUCAGGAGUUACAGGCAGGACACGGGGCACACAGGGACCACAGAGAGGCCUGCUUGGGUGGGUCUGUGUCAAAAAUGAGGAAUAAUUUACACGGAGUGAAGUGGGCCCUUUGAAAUGCACAACUUUGUGAGUUUUUGAGAAAAGGACUACAACCCUGUAACCAUCCCACAGUACAGGCAGCUGACUUAGAUUCCACACCCCAAACCCCAGGUCCCUGUGCCUUCACAGGAGUGGAUCUGAGGCGCCUUCUCCUCCCCCACCCAUGAGCUCUGGCUCCUUGGAGCAGCUGCUGAAAGAGCCAGCUUGCUAAAGUCACUUUCUUGUGCUUCCUGAGGCCAAUUUCCUGGAGCAGAACAGCACUCAGAGUCGGUACCUCCUAAGAUCACUACAUUGACCUCUGAGGGAGGAAAAAAUCACCCGUUUCCCAGAGCAAUCACAGGCGCUUUCUUUGCCAGCUGUUUCCAGCUCAAAAGAAACCAUUUAAUUGGUUUGGAGGCCACAGGAUCCUCUUCCAAUUAGGGUCCCAUCCUGCCAGCUGCGAACUGUGCUGGGGACAAUCAGACUGGGCUUUGUAGGACAAACAGGGCCCCUGGCAGCAGGCGCCAGAAUCCUCUAGCAACCGUCUGGCUCUGUCCUGGGGGUGGGCGCUAACCUCGGCCUCCAGGUCCCUCACAGGACCUGGAAGGGCAGGAGAGGGGUUUCCAGCCCAGGCCCUUUCCCCAAGGACAGCACAGGACCCGCGGGGCAGGGAGCGACCUUCCUCAUCUUGCCUUCUGGGCUGCAGGAGAUGCUCCCCCCACCCCGUCCUGGUGCCCCAGGGCCAGGGACCUCAUCCUCCCCUCCCUGACAUGCUCAUCGCUUCUGUCUCGGUGCCAGGGAGGGAACCCAGUGACAAGAUGGCCACAGAUGGCAGGAACACGGCGCACGUGGAGCAGCGUGUGUGGGAGUCCAUGUAACAGACUGUUCUCACGUGAGGGGCCUUGCCUAAAAAUGGGGCACAUCAGGGCAGGGUGAGGGCAAUGAAACUCAGGCUCAAAUGAUGCCCCUCACAAGCCCCACCCGGAACUGCUCCUCAGCAUCUGCUCUGCCCCUCAGGCUUUGGAGGGACCGAUGCUCAAGCAAAGCCCAGGCAGACCGGGCUGCAGCCGGCAGAGGAGGCCGAGUGGCCAGCCCGGCCCUGGCCUGCCCCACGUCAGUCCUCAGGUGUGGGGAGCUCCGGGCACUGCAGCGCCUGACUCUGAAACCCGCAGAUGCCCUCAUGGCCUGCGACCCAUCGCUGAAUGAAUCCAGAGUCCAAAGCGAACCCUAAAGGCAGCCGGGUGACCAGCUUGGGCUGGAAACUCCCGUACCUCCAGCAGGCAGGUGUGGGGCAGAAGGGCUGUCCCAGCUGCUGGUACCUGGCCUGGCUGGUUUGGGGCAGUGGGUCUCUCGCCUAGGAAAGAUGCACUCCGGAGCCCCUGCUGUCUGCAAGAGCUGGCAGCAGAUGCCAGGCGCUGGGAACUGGGGAGGCAAGGGUGGGUGCAGCUCAGGAGCACAGUGCUGGCCUGGCAUGCUUGAGGUCCUAGCUUGAGCCCCAGCUCGCAAGAAUACAGAAAAUAUGAAUGCAGUCAGUAUGGUUGGUCCAUGAUGGCUGGGCUCCAGUCAGAUACAUCGGGCCGGGAAAGCAACAGGCUCUUUCUCUACCUCCCCUCCCCUCCCCUUUCCCUUCCCCGUCCUCCUCCCU